AGAGAGAAAACAUGCAAGCUUGUUAUUCUUCUUCUAUGGUCUCUCAAUGUGUAAUUUUCAUUAUUUGGUCUAUGGCAUUUCAUCUGUGCCAAAGUCUAUUACAAAUUGAUGAAAUGUUGGUGAAUGAUUUUCCUCACUUUUUUUCCCAUCAUUUUGGGUAAAGUUACUGCAUAAACCGGAAAAGAUUCCUUGCUAUGUUUAGAUGCCAAAACCUAAUGAAAGUUCUUUCCUCUUCUUCUGGUUUCUAAAAAGUUUCUAAGAGGUGUAGUGGAUAGAGUGCAAUACCUUUGGUGCAAGGUUCUUCUUGCGUUGUUUUUGCUGCUACUCUGCCUUCCAAGAGAAGGAUUGAAUUUAGUCAAAGUAAGAAGUGUCUGCUUCCUAACAUGGGGUAAUUGAAAAGUGUACUGGUCCAUAGAACGGAAUUCUGGACAGAGCUAAAGCAUUUGCUCUCUUUCCCAGUUCUGAAGCAUUUGAUCAUUUUGUUGAUUGCUUCAUGGUCCUUUUUCUCAGUGAUGAGUAAACAUAAGUCAAAAGUCGUUGAUUUAGUUCUUUUAUCAAUCUAAUGUUUCUAUGUCUAAAGAUGUUGCAAUUUUAUCCAGCGUUCCAUGAACACAUCAAAUAGUAUUUGGCUUUACUAAUGUCCUACCGUUUCUUAGCUAACUGAACAAGCAGCUUACCACUCUUUGAAGGCAAAUCUCAAGUGGAUGGCUCCAGAAGUACUUUGCUUUUGUGAACAUUAAUGCCACAUUCUUUUUUUGUUGUGGUGGAAUGAUGGAAUAGUGUAACCUGCGAAUCAUACAAUCGUUGAUGGCGAAUGAUAACGGCACAAAUCUUAAUCGUACUGUUGACAUCUGAAGUUUGGGAUGUACUAUUAUCGAAAUGCUAUCUGGGAAACCUCCUUGGAGUGAGUAUGAGUGGGCUGCGGCUAUGUUUAAGGUAAUGUGAAGUGCUCCGCUAAUACCUGAGAUGUUAUCUGUCGAGUGGAAGGAUUUCCUGCAGUGCUGCUUCCAUAGACAGCCUGCCGAGAGGCCUCCAGCUGCCAUGCUGCUUGAGCAUGCUUUCCUGCAAAUUACAAGUUACAGAUGACUAAAUUUUUUGACGUGCCAUUCCUUGUUGCAAAAGGAAUGUUAUAUUGUAAAUGCUCAUAUUUACUAGACCAAAAGGAUUAGAAAUAGGAAGCGCAGUAUGGAAGCUGCUACAUGAAAAUAAGUCCAUUAAUGGGAUGAAGAAAAAAGAAGACUCAUAUGGUCCCAAGAUACAUGUUUAAUUAUCUAAAUUAAUGCUUAUC